CAAUCACACUGUUAUGGUCAUGACUUAAGGACUCAACCUCUUAAAUCUCAUAGGACUACUUCUUUCUACUAGGAUCGAUAGAUCCCAUCUUGAUGCAUACUUCACUCCUAUAGUGGACCAACUAUUGUCAACAUCUACUACAAGAGCUCUUUGAGACCCAUGGUGAUGUGUCAAUCAAACUCCAACAGCCUCACUAUGAGCAGUAGUAUCAUCUC
rnacentral:lncRNA from 1 species